GGUUAGCUUAGUUCAAUGGUAGAACAUUAGUUUGUGGGUCUAAUAAUUCCAGUUCGAUUCUGGGAGUUGACC
rnacentral:tRNA from 1 species